rnacentral:rRNA from 1 species
GGGAAAGAAUUUCGGUGAAAGAUCGGCCCGCGUUAGAUUAGAUUGUUGGUGGGGUAAUGGCCUACCAAGUCUACGAUCUAUAGCUGGUUUCAGAGGAUGAUCAGCAACACUGGGACUGAGACACGGGCCAGACUCCUACAGGAGGCAGCAGUGAGGAAUAUUGGUCAAUGGGUGAGAGCCUGAACCAGCCAUGCCGCGUGAAGGAAGACUGCCCUAUGGGUUGUAAACUUCUUUUCUGCAGGAAGAAAUCACUCUACGUGUAGGGUGUUGCCGGUACUGCAGGAAUAAGCAUCGGCUAACUCCGUGCCAGCAGCCGCGGUAAUACGGAGGAUGCAAGCGUUAUCCGGAUUUAUUGGGUUUAAAGGGUGCGUAGGCGGGCUUGUAAGUCAGUGGUGAAAUGCUGUGGCUUAACCAUAGAAUUGCCAUUGAAACUGCAAGUCUUGAGUACAGUUGAGGUGGGCGGAAUGAGUAAUGUAGCGGUGAAAUGCAUAGAUAUUACUCAGAACUCCGAUUGCGUAGGCAGCUUGCUAAACUGUAACUGACGCUGAUGCACGAAAGCGUGGGGAGCGAACAGGAUUAGAUACCCUGGUAGUCCACGCUGUAAACGAUGAGCACUGGUUGUUGGCAAUACACCGUCAGCGACUGAGCGAAAGUAUUAAGUGCUCCACCUGGGGAGUACGUCGGCAACGAUGAAACUCAAAGGAAUUGACGGGGGCCCGCACAAGCGGAGGAACAUGUGGUUUAAUUCGAUGAUACGCGAGGAACCUUACCUGGGCUUAAAUGUAGAGUGCAUUGCUUGGAAACAGGCAUUUUCUUCGGAACUCUUUACAAGGUGCUGCAUGGUUGUCGUCAGCUCGUGCCGUGAGGUGUCGGGUUAAGUCCCAUAACGAGCGCAACCCCUAUUGUUAGUUACCAGCACGUAAUGGUGGGGACUCUAGCAAGACUGCCGGUGUAAACCGUGAGGAAGGUGGGGAUGACGUCAAAUCAGCACGGCCCUUAUGUCCAGGGCUACACACGUGUUACAAUGGCAAGUACAAAGAGCAGCCACCUGGCGACAGGGCGCUAAUCUCAAAAGC